UACGGAGGAUGCAAGCGUUAUCCGGAAUCAUUGGGCGUAAAGCGUCCGCAGGUGGUGAUGCAAGUCUAUUGUCAAAGAGCGAGGCUCAACCUCGUCAAGGCGGUGGAAACUGCAAACACUAGAGUGCGGUAGGGGUAGAGGGAAUUCCCAGUGUAGCGGUGAAAUGCGUAGAGAUUGGGAAGAACACCGGUGGCGAAAGCGCUC
rnacentral:rRNA from 1 species